rnacentral:ncRNA from 1 species
UCGUUUUUGAUGAUCAAGAGAGUACCAUAGUUUUUUCUACUAGCGAUUUCGGAGAAGGUGAGAGCCGAAAAGAAAAACUAAUUGGGAAACGCACUUGGGAGAAUCUGUGUUUAAGCAGACGGCAAUCCACCGUUAUCGGAUUUAAGAAGGUCCAAUGGACAAAUAGAGUGGUACCGCGGGUAAUCUCGUCUCUAGU